rnacentral:rRNA from 1 species
UUAAGAAUCUUGGACAAUGGACGAAAGUCUGAUCCAGCGACGCCGCGUGAACGAUGAAGGUCUUCGGAUUGUAAAGUUCGGUAAGAUGGGGCGAAGAAGCGCAGGGUAAUAUUCUGCGUGGUGACGGUACCAUCCUAAAGCUUCGGCUAAAUACGUGCCAGCAGCCGCGGUAAUACGUAUGAAGCAAGCGUUGUUCGGAAUUAUUUGGCGUAAAGGGCAUCUAGGUGGGAUGUUAAGUCAGGUGUGAAAUUCCACGGCUCAACCGUGGACCUGCAUUUGAUACUGGCAUUCUUGAGUUCGGUAGAGGAAGGCGGAAUUCCCGGUGUAGCGGGGAAAUGCGUAGAUAUCGGGAAGAACACCGGUGGCGAAGGCGGCCUUCUGGACCUGGACUGACGCUGACAUACGAAAGUGUGGGGAUCAAACG